rnacentral:misc_RNA from 1 species
GAAAUGCGAUAAGUAAUGUGAAUUGCAGAAUUCAGUGAAUCAUCGAAUCUUUGAACGCACAUUGCGCCCGCUAGUACUCUAGCGGGCAUGCCUGUUCGAGCGUCAUUUCAACCCUCAAGCCCCCGGGCUUGGUGUUGGGGCCCCACGGCCGCCGUGGGCCCCGAAAUUGAGUGGCGGGCUCGCUGCAGACUCCGAGCGUAGUAGUAACCUAUCUCGCUAGGGAGGCGUGGCGCGCUCCGGCCGUUAAAACCUUAAAACCCAAGGUUGACCUCGGAUCAGGUAGGAAUACCCGCUGAACUUAA